UUGGAGGGCAAGUCUGGUGCCAGCAGCCGCGGUAAUUCCAGCUCCAAUAGCGUAUAUUAAAGUUGUUGCAGUUAAAAAGCUCGUAGUUGAAUUUCGGGACCAAUUUGUUGGUCGUGCCUCGGUGCGUACUGGUAUUAUUGGUUUCUCCCUUCUGAAGAACCUUGAUGUCAUUAAUUUGGUGUCUUGGGGAAUCAGGACUGUUACUUUGAAAAAAUUAGAGUGUUUAAAGCAGGCAUACGCUUGAAUACAUUAGCAUGGAAUAAUGAAAUAGGACGUUUGAUUCUAUUUUGUUGGUUUCUAGGAUCGACGUAAUGAUUAAUAGGGAUAGUUGGGGGCAUUAGUAUUCAAUUGUCAGAGGUGAAAUUCUUGGAUUUAUUGAAGACUAACUACUGCGAAAGCAUUUGCCAAGGAUGUUUUCAUUAAUCAAGAACGAAAGUUAGGGGAUCGAAGACGAUCAGAUACCGUCGUAGUCUUAACCAUAAACUAUGCUGACUAGGGAUCGGAUGAUGUUAAUUUUUUAAUGACUCAUUCGGCGCCUUACGGGAAAC
rnacentral:rRNA from 1 species